GCAUAUCAAUAAGCGGAGGAAAAGAAACCAACAGGGAUUGCCCUAGUAACGGCGAGUGAAGCGGCAACAGCUCAAAUUUGAAAUCUGGCUCUUUCAGAGUCCGAGUUGUAAUUUGCAGAGGGCGCUUUGGCUUUGGCAGCGGUCCAAGUUCCUUGGAACAGGACGUCACAGAGGGUGAGAAUCCCGUACGUGGUCGCUAGCUAUUGCCGUGUAAAGCCCCUUCGACGAGUCGAGUUGUUUGGGAAUGCAGCUCUAAAUGGGAGGUAAAUUUCUUCUAAAGCUAAAUAUUGGCCAGAGACCGAUAGCGCACAAGUAGAGUGAUCGAAAGAUGAAAAGCACUUUGGAAAGAGAGUCAAACAGCACGUGAAAUUGUUGAAAGGGAAGCGCUUGCAGCCAGACUUGCUUGCAGUUGCUCAUCCGGGCUUUUGCCCGGUGCACUCUUCUGUAGGCAGGCCAGCAUCAGUUUGGGCGGUGGGAUAAAGGUCUCUGUCACGUACCUCUCUUCGGGGAGGCCUUAUAGGGGAGACGACAUACCACCAGCCUAGACUGAGGUCCGCGCAUCUGCUAGGAUGCUGGCGUAAUGGCUGUAAGCGGCCCGUCUUGAAACACGGACCAAGGAGUCUAACAUCUAUGCGAGUGUUUGGGUGUCAAGCCCGAGCGCGUAAUGAAAGUGAACGGAGGUGGGAACCCGCAAGGGUGCACCAUCGACCGAUCCUGAAGUUUACGGAAGGAUUUGAGUAAGAGCAUGGCUGUUGGGACCCGAAAGAUGGUGAACUAUGCUUGAAUAGGGUGAAGCCAGAGGAACUCUGGUGGAGGCUCGCAGCGGUUUCUGACGUGCAAAUCGAUCGUCAAAUUUGGGCAUAGGGGCGAAAGACUAAUCGAACUAUC
rnacentral:rRNA from 1 species